rnacentral:rRNA from 1 species
UUAACACUUGCAAGUCGAACGAUGAUGCCCAGCUUGCUGGGCGGAUUAGUGGCGAACGGGUGAGUAACACGUGGGUGAUUUGCCNUGCACUUCGGGAUAAGCCUGGGAAACUGGGUCUAAUACCGGAUAUGACCACCGGAUGCAUGUUUUGUGGUGGAAAGGUUUACUGGUGCAGGAUGAGCCCGCGGCCUAUCAGCUUGUUGGUGGGGUAAUGGCCUACCAAGGCGACGACGGGUAGCCGGCCUGAGAGGGCGACCGGCCACACUGGGACUGAGACACGGCCCAGACUCCUACGGGAGGCAGCAGUGGGGAAUAUUGCACAAUGGGCGAAAGCCUGAUGCAGCGACGCCGCGUGAGGGAUGACGGCCUUCGGGUUGUAAACCUCUUUCAGCAGGGACGAAGCGCAAGUGACUGUACCUGCAGAAGAAGCACCGGCUAACUACGUGCCAGCAGCCGCGGUAAUACGUAGGGUGCGAGCGUUGUCCGGAAUUACUGGGCGUAAAGAGUUCGUAGGCGGUUUGUCGCGUCGUGUGUGAAAUCCCGCAGCUCAACUGCGGGCUUGCAGGCGAUACGGGCAGACUUGAGUACUGCAGGGGAGACUGGAAUUCCUGGUGUAGCGGUGAAAUGCGCAGAUAUCAGGAGGAACACCGGUGGCGAAGGCGGGUCUCUGGGCAGUAACUGACGCUGAGGAACGAAAGCGUGGGUAGCGAACAGGAUUAGAUACCCUGGUAGUCCACGCCGUAAACGGUGGGCGCUAGGUGUGGGUUUCCUUCCACGGGAUCCGUGCCGUAGCUAACGCA